GGGGGGGGGGGGGGGGGGGGGGGGGGGGGGGGGGGGGGGGGGGGGGGGGGGGGGGGGGGGGGGGGGGGGGGGGGGGGGGGGGGGGGGGGGGGGGGGGGGGGGGGGGAAAAAAAAAAAAAAAACCACUUCCCGGAGACGUCCAAGAUAUUUGGGGCAAGUUCCCCCUCCCCGGUCACCUGUGGGAUCCUGCGGGGCAGAAGCUCCACGGGCCGGGACGGCUGCGGACACAGGGCGCGGUGGACCCGCGAAUUUCCUCUUCUUCCUCUUUCUUCUUCUUUUUCUUCUUCUCCCCUGUGGAAGGUCAGACGGCUACAGAAGCUGAGCUGGGUAGCGCCGCAGACCUCCCGGCCCUGGUACAGUGGAAGCCGUGGGAGAGAUAAACUCAAGUCAAGAACAAAAAUGAAGACUCCUCGUCCUCUUCCAGCUUCUCCUCCUUUUCCGGCUCCUGCUCCUCCUCUUCCUCUAUCCUUGCUCUGCCGUCAGCUGCCCCCCUUGCGCGCCAUCCGUUCGGCUGCGGGCGAGCGGCUCUGGCGUGAGACGGGAAAGGGCGUGAUGUGAGCGGGGCAAGAAGGGAGAAGACGGGGGGGACCCCCAAACGGAGCGAUGGAGGAGCUCCGGGCUCUGGCAAUUCUCUUCUUCCGUCUGCGUUCAUCACCCACCGGCACACGGGGAAUAGCCUUACAAGUGUGGAGAAUGUGGGAAGAGGUUUCAGAGCAUCUCGGUUCUCAUGAGACAUCAGUGGACACACUCGGGAAAAUCUCUCCCCAGCCUCCACUCCUGUCAGGUCACACCAUGAUCUGAGAAAUACUUGUUUAGUGCUGGGCUCAACUCCUCUUGAGUUUAUCACAAACUGUCUGUUCAGGAACUGGUUCUGUCCAACCAGCUCAAACAGCCUUGGAUUUUUUUUUUUUUUUUUUUUUUCCCUGAGUAGCAUCCCAGAUGGGAUUAUAUUUUUUUUCUCAACCUUUCCCAAAAUGUCACCAACCUGAGCUGGGGCCAGGAUGAAAGCUGCCUGUGACUAAGGCCCAUCCCUUGGGCUCUAUAAACAGCAGGCCUGAGUGAGAGCCUUGGAACCCUCCUGGGCCACAGCAGCUGCAACAGCGACAUGCCUGUGCUGGGGCCUCUGCAAGUUCCCUGUGCUGGGAACUCUCCCAUUUGCUGCACUCAGGGCACCCCUGAAUGAUGAUGGGUCCUGAGCUGAGCCCCCCCACUGCUUGAGGCGCUGCCCUGUGCCUGGUGGGAAGAUGCAAAAGCAUCCGAAGGGACAAUUACACUGUAUUCCAGGGGAAUUUCCCACAGGGACCUUGUAAAGACUCCUGUCCGUGUGUGUGUGAUGGUGAAUAUGCCAUAGCAAAUGUCCUGGGAAUGCUGCUCUCCUGGAGUCGGAAGUACUUUAGAUUUGUAAGUCAGUAAGGCAUGUGGAUAUGUUCCUGUUCUGGUGUAAUAAAUUCUGUGUGAAAUUACAGAUUAAGUUUCAGUUAAGUGCUGUUAAAUUUAAGUGCUAUGGGCCUUUAAGCAUAAACUGUUGAUAAAAUCCAGGCUCCGUUCUGCAUAGACUCUCUCACUCUCUGACUCUUGUGACUCAACUAGUCGGGUCUUCCACAUUCCUUUCUCUCCUUACCCUCUUCUGGCUUUUUCCCUCACCCCUCCCUCCCUCCCUCCCUCCGAGCCUCCUCAACUACCAUAUAAAUAGUUUUGCAUUUAUUUCAGUUUGGAUUGAUUGAUUUUGGAUUUUUGUUUCCUUUUCCUUGGUGUACUUUAGCCAACGAGUAAUCUUCUCCUCUAUCCCUCCUUCUCCUCCUCUUCCAUCCCUUCUCCUCUUCCCCCCAGGGCCAGUACCCACCCGGCCUCCAGGGCUCCUCUGUGUCCUUUGUGAGCACUGGCUCUUCACAGGGUGAUUUUCCCACACACCCAUUUCCAGACUGCCAGGGGUUCCGACUCCUCCCUUACCCCUCUGUUCUCCCCUCUCCGCUCCAGACUGCCGGGGGUUCUGCCUCCCCCGUGCCCCCAUUUCAUUCUCGGGGUUUUCCCCCUCGGCUCUCCCAAAACGCGGCGCCGCUCACGCUGCCGGGACCGGGCGAUCGCCGCACGGCUCCGGAAUCCCGCAUUUCCCC
ensembl:lncRNA